UUAUAAAACAAAGGUUCAAAAUUUUAAGAAAAAAUGUGCUAUUCCCAUUCAAAUGGUAAGCAUUGACGUAGUGUAGGGGGUUGAGGUAAUUAUGUACUACAAUGAAAAUUAAACCUGGACGAUUGUUGAACUUGUCAAUGCUAAUUGUUGUCCAAAGACGAUCUAGAUGACCUUAAUGCAGAGAUUACAAAGGAGGAAAUUUAUUGUUUGCCUUUCGAAAUACAAACCCCACAUAAAACCGUCCCCCUAAAUAUUCGGAGGGCCCGUCGUCACCGAAAUGCUGAGUUUCAAAAGGCGAACAAAGGAAACCUUGUUUCUUUGAAAGCGUAAUUAGACGCACUCAGUCAAAAAUUUUACUAAUUAAACCGAUCCUACCGCAGUAGGCAAGUUUCCUGUGAAAUUUAUUUGUUAAUUUUACACGCAGAAAAAAAGAAGAAACGAUUUUCUCACACGGACAGCGAAAAGCAAGCAACCGAUUGAAUUUAGGCUUUCGAGAAUACAAACUCCAUUUAAACCCUUUUAGUUUUCGACUAUCCCCGCGGGACCGCUCUUUGAAUUACUUUAAAAUAUUUUCUUUGAAGAUACAGAUUUUUUGUCAGUUUUCGCCAAUUUUCGUUACUAUCGAGCACCGAGGAAAGGUGUGGUUAUCGCCAUCUUCUGAUGAGUAUCCGCACUUUGAAGUUGGAGUGAUUGUUUUGCAAAUUCUGUGGAGGAAGGUUUUGAAAUAUCCGAGCUCGACAUACUUCUUUUCCACCGCAAGGAGAUCGAUUGUAGUCACAGCUCCGACAACAAGGAUGGAGAUAAGAGUGGAAGCUGUUAUGGGAACACAAGACCAAUUACACAGUCAUUACCCAAACUGACUCAUAAAAUUUUGUUCGCUAUUUCAUGUAUGUAACUAUAUAGAACUUUUUUGCCGACGACCUCAAAUAAAAACAACGCAUAUUGAAACAAUCGGAAAAAAUAAAACUAACAGUGUGGUAAAUUAAACAGUUUAAAAACGGAAAGCCGAAAACAUGAUUAGUUUAUAUCAGAUCAAAAAGUCAAGUCGUUACUGGUGCAAAACGAGGAUAUCAAAAACUUUGUCCAUUCAGGAUUCUCCACUACAAGGCAAAUUGGAGUUUUUCUGAAUUUCCCAGAAAGCCUUCCAAAAUAUACCAAAGUAAGAAGUUUAAAAUUUGAAAUUGCAGUAAUUCUACAUCGAUUCUGUGUCCUCUACUCUUUAUUGCGGUCCUGCUUGUAGGCCAAGAGAAGUGCCAAAUGUCCUUCAGUAACUUUUUGCUGACACAAUUAAUUUACCCUAAGUGAAUUUUCAGAAUAUCAACUAUUCUUAUUUGCAAGAAUAGAAAGGAUCAACAAUGUACUGCCAGGUCCAAACUUCUAAGCAGAGAUGCAUUAUUCAUGAUGAUAUUCUUGGAGGCUUUGUUAAGGGGUAAUAACACUUUGUAAAAACGAAAUCGAGUGUCAUUUCCACCAGUGGAAUAUUAAAAUUUAACGAUUUUAUGGUCUUUUUUCUUCGAAUUCCGUUUUUGGAAUACAUGAAUUUUUCCCAUUUCUUUAAAAAUCAAUAAAUCAAAAUAAUCCUACGUUCUUCACUGGGGAAUAGUUUUGUUAAUCUUCACAAAAAUUUCAGCCCGAUCGGUUAAAAACUGUAGGAGUUAGUUGGAAGUCGGAUUGAAGGGGAGAUUUUGACCCCCGGAACUAAACGUCGCCUGCCAACAAAAAAAAGAAAAAAACCGUUUUUGAAAGAUGUGGCAACAGACCGAUUAUCAUCAUCUCAAGGAUACUGCGGAUGUUGAUGCAGCGUGGCUUGAACCGUCCCAGCCAUGGAAAUCCGCGGCUACUUCAUCCCCACAAAAAACUAGCUGAUGCCUAUCUUUGUUUCUUAGAACUACGAAGCAGGUUGAGUUUAAAUUAAACAUUCCAGACAUGUAUAAGAAUCAGAAAUACAAAAAAAAAAUAAAACAUACCUAUUGAGUUUCUUCAAUUGUUUAAUCCAACGAUCUCUAAAUUGUUUGUUACGUUUGGCAUACGGAGUAUUCUCCCAAUGGGCUUUGGUC